GUUUGUGUAGUAAAUUUGAUUACGACACCCCUUCAUGGUGUAAUAGAUAGUAUCCAUAAAUUG
rnacentral:tRNA from 1 species